rnacentral:tRNA from 1 species
GGGGCUAUAACUCAGUGGUAGGGUGCAUGCCUAGCAUGCAUGAUGUUGUGGGUUCAGUCCCCAGUACCUCCA